rnacentral:rRNA from 1 species
UACGUAGGGCGCAAGCGUUGUCCGGAAUUAUUGGGCGUAAAGGAGCUACGUAGGCGGUUUGUCGCGUCUGCUGUGAAAAACUCGGGGCUUAACCCCGGGCCUGCCAGUUGGGUACGGGCAGAACUAGAGUGCGGUAGGGAGACUGGAAUUCCUGGUGUAGCGGUGAAAUGCGCAGAUAAUCAGGAGGAACACCGGUGGCGAAGGCGGGUCUCGUGGGCCGUAACUGACGCUGGAGGAGCGAAAGCGUGGGGAGCGAAACAGG